GUGAGUAGGGAGACUGUGCUACCCAGGGAGGCGCAGGGACCUUGACACACGGAGAGGAACGCCACGUGCUCUCAGUGCCUGUCCCUCAAACCCCAGGUGAUGGUAUCAGGGGGAGGGGCCUCUGGGAGCGGACGGUUUAGGGGCAUAAGGUCAUGAGGGUGGAGCCCUGGGACGGGGGUGGUGCCCAAAUGAGAAAAGGCAGAGACCAGGGCCCUCCGUCCGCCCUGAGCCUCGCCGGGCAGCGACCACACUGGCACUCUCGUCCUGGACUUCCAGACUCCAGAGCCCUGAGAAGUGAUCUUCUGUUGCUUAAGUCUCCGUCUGGGCAUUUUAUUUCGGCUGCCGAGCAGAGUGAUGCAUCGCGUUUAAGACAGAAGGUGCCAGAGCAAGUCCCGACGGUCCCCAGAAGGAGUUUGUGUCAGCGGCGUGUUGUAAAGGUGCCUAGAGAGGUGGUGCCAGCUUGGGCAGACAAGCUGGAUGCUGGCUGGAGGCAGGGAGCCUUGGCCCUUGGCCGCGGGAUACCGGAUCUCAGUUCACGGGCUGCGUAUUUGCUGGCGGAAGGGCUGCUUGAGGGUGGUUCCCACCACGAGGUUACAGACAUUCAGCCAACCGCCUGGCUCCCGUCUCUUGACCCCUGCCUCCUGCCACUGGCCUGGCCUGGAGAGUCUGUUUUCAUUUUGUUAGACCACCGUUUCUUGUGUGUGCCGCACGUGAAAUGGAACAUCGGGGGAGGCACCACCAGGCGGCGUGAGGCGCAGAAGCAGAACAAGACCGAGGGGUGGGAACUGCAGAAAGGCAACUCUCCCGUGGACGUGAGGCGCCAGUCCAAAACAGCGGCACUACUUUCUAAUCACCAGACUCUCCCGCGUUCCAGACUCAGCUUCCGAGCUGUGACUCCCCGAGUGCGCACGGGUGCACCUGUGUUCCAAAUAAAGCCUCGCCAGCCCGGAGGCCAGGGGGUCGCAUGUUCAGUCCCGUGACAGAAACAAACCUGCGAAGCCCCAGAGAAAACAGUGGGGUCAGGGUCCCCCAUAGCUAACAGUGAGUGAGCGGUCCCCAAACAUAGCAGGGGCCAAUAGGGUCCACUGACUGAAUAAAACACGGUGACCCCAACAUCACAGCAGUGCAGGGGACACUGUCUUAUACUCGGGUUCUGUGCGUCUAUCGAACAUGUGUGUCACCGUCUGUUUUUCAACCUUGUGUUACAAGUCUUGGUGUGUG
ensembl:lncRNA